UUCGAACUCAUUCUUAUAAAAAAAUAUAGACUUAAAUGCAUUUUUGGUUCCUCAACUAUUUAUUUGGUAUCGCUUUGGUCCCUUAACUAAAAAAAAGAUUGUUUGAGUACUUUAUCUUUAUUCCGUUACCUAUUUUGGUCCAUUCUGUUAAAAAAAUUGAAAAAAUCGUUAGGGUUUAUAUUAUUCCUUCUCCUUCGGUCAUCUUUUUCAUGAUCUUCAUCAUCAACAACACACACCAACCCAAAAAAAAAAAAAUCAUCAUCAUCUUCAUCAAAUCUAUAAACAUAAUCAAUUUCAUAACUCAAUCAAUAACCAAUUUUUCCAUUAAAAAAACAUCCCUUUCAAUCAAAACAACACAAUUUCUCAAUCUUCCUAAACCAAAUCAACCAAAAUCUUUAUAUCUAAUCACUACAAUUUUUUUUAAAAUCCAAAACUACUCUCCACCACCACCUGGGCACUACUCACCUUUGCUUCAUUUCCUGCUAAUAUCUCCUCCCUAAUUCUUCCCACACCCCCAACCAACUACUCACUCUUCUAACAAACUCCUCCCUAUAGGACUCUCCGCUACUGUCGUUGUUGUUGUCGUUGGCAGAAGCAACAAAUCAAGCUCAAUUUUCAUGUUCCUCUUCUUCUUUCCUCUUCUUCUUUUGGCUCGUAGGAGCAGUCUCAUUCGAUGAGUCUCUCACCACCGACGAGUUCUAGUCCCCGAAGAACACAAAACAAAAAUCACCACAAGCCUCACCAAGUCACAACCAGAGAGAGAUUUUGAUGAAGAUGUAUACAUCCUUCUAACUCCACUCGACCUCUCUCCCUCUAUCAAUUCCUCUUUACUCGACCCCAGCCAAAUCUAAGAAAUUGCAGUAAUGGGUCAAGUAGUAGAAGGAGAAAGAAGAAAGGUUAUUUGCGGAGAUCUAUGGAUCUUAAGAUUGAACAGUUGAAAGCUUAAAUUAUACGAUUGGAUGAGUAGUAUAAGGUGAGGAUAUUAAUUCAUUGAUAUCUUUAGAAAAUUGUUGUUAUGUCUAGUUGUUGUGGUGUUGGAUUUGGAUUUGUUGUGGGCGAGUUGACUCAGUGAGUUGGUUGAUAUCUUUAGAGAAGCACAGCGGUUGUUGUUAUGUCUAGUUGUUGUGGUUUUGGAUUUGGAUUUAGAAAAAAAAAUUUGUUUGGUAAAUUAAAGUGCUUUUUUUUAGUGAACAAAUUGGUUGUUGAUUGAGUUAUGAAAUUGAUUUUGUUUAUAGAUUUGAUGAUAAUGAAUUUUUAUUUUUUUUGGGUUGGUGUGUUGUUGAUGAUGAAAAUCAUGAAGAAGAUGAUGGAAGGAGAAGGAAGAAGAUGAAUAAUAUAAUUCCUAACGGUUUUUUUAUUUUUUUUUAACGGAAGGGACAAAAACAAGUAACUGAGAUAAAGAUAAAGUACUCAAACAAUUUUCUUUUUUUAGUUAAGGGAUCAAAGCGAUAUCAAAUAAAUAGUUAAGGGAUCAAAAGCGCAUUUAAGCCAAAAAUAUAUUAAUAAAGUUCUACAAAUUAAAUUUAAUAAUUGAUUUAUAUUCAAUAUAAUAUUUACUCCAAACAAAUACGAACUAUAUAUUAAUAUUUCUCAAUUGAAGAAAAAUUAAUUGAAUCAUAUCAUUGAUUGAUAUUUUAAUUUACAUUUUAUGAGCAUCAGAGUUUUUUUUUUUUUUUUUUUUUUGUGAACUAGAUAUUUUUGCGCACAAAUAUAGAUAUUUAAUCACUGAGGUAGAUAAAAUUUUAAGAUUGAGACAUUUGAUUUUGUCAAGUAACAUAAUGCUUAAAAAUUCACCUUUUAAGAUGAAACCAACAAUAAUCUUUUUUUUCCUUUCUCUCCUGUGAGCUGUUACUAAAACUUUAGUUUUUUUCUCUUUCAUCCAUCAAAGAGGGAUGAUUUAGGAUUUUUGAUCCAAAAUCACCUCUCUAACUCGUUUUUCUUUUUCCCUUUUAUUGAAAUAAGUUCACAUCUAUUUUGUUUUUUAUUUUGUGAUUUUGUCGUCUUCGUACGACAUUGGUUUGUUCGUCGUCUUUGUGCGACGUUGUUUGUUUUCAAUAUUGAUUAUAGGGUUAAUUAAGUUUUUAGUCCCUAUAAAUAUUCACAGUUUUGUUUUUAGUCCUUAUAAAAUAAAAUCACACUUUUUAGUCCCUGUGACAUUUUCCUUAAGCAUUUUAGGGACUAAAAAUGCUGAUGGAAAAAUUUUAUAGGGACUAAAAAUGCUUAUGAAAAAUUUUAUAAGGACUAAAAAUAUUGAUGGAAAAUUUUAUAAGGACUAAAAAGUGUGAUUUUAUUUUGUGGGGACUAAAAACAAAAUUCUGAAUAUUUAUAGGGACUAAAAACUUAAUUAACCCUUGAUUAUAUCAUAUGAGUAUGGGACUAAGGCCCCGUUUGGAUAAACAGCUUAUAUAGAUGCUUAUAAUAUUAGUGCUUAUAACAUUAGAGCUUAUAUCAUAAGCUCUUAUACUUGAUAAGUUAUUUAUGUUUGGAUAUGUACACUAAAAAGUACUUACAUAAAUUGAAGUGUUUGGAUGUGACAUUACAUAAGCAAUUAUCGAAAUUUUAAAUAUUUUUAACUUAACAAAAAAAUCCAAGAAUUGAACCACAAUUAUCAAGAUUUUUUUUGAUAAAAUUAAUCAAGGCGUAAAAAAACAAUAUUAUAACAUAUUAAAUAUAAUUAUAUAUAUAUAUAGUAUAAUCAAUUUGUCCUUAAAAAAAUAUCAAUAUUCAUAUAUGACAAAAUUAACAUUAGAGGUGUAAAUAAACAUAUCAUAUAUAUUGAUAUUAGUGUGCAGUUUGUUACCCAAAAAAGACAAGUUAAAUUUGUUUUUUUAUUCAGUUUCAUUUUGUUACGUAACAAAAAAAAAAAAAAAAUCUUAGUUACGUUUGUUACUUUAGUAAGAUAAGUAUAUAGCAAUUUUGUUACUGAUGCACCGCCAAAGAUAACUAACAUUAUAAUUAAAACAUUCCUUCAAAAAAAAUUAUAAUUAAAAUAUAUGUUUUGAAAAAGUGGAUCCAGAGAGAAUCGAAGGAGGUUACAUAAAUUCAUAAGCUCCUUGUUAAGCCAGAUGGUAAGCUGAAAAUUUAGGCUUAUUAAAAUAUGGCAUAAGUAGCUUAUGAAACUAUGAUAAGCUAUUUUUAUUUAUUUACCCAAACACCUUUAAAAAUGCUUAUGGGAGUAGAUAAGCCCACAUAAGCUCAAAAUAAGCCAAUCCAAACGGGGCCUAAACAGGAGAGAGUAGCAUAGCAUUACAUACGAAACCUAUGGUAUUUGUUUGACUGGCUAUAUAUGACAUGUAGGUCUCUUUGAUCUUUCACGAACAAGAAGGAAUGCACGAUACAUCGGAUAAGGGUUCCAUAUGAUGCGGAACAUAUACAUGAAAAUUAAUGAUAUCUCUGUAGUUCAUUUGUGCUUGACUAUUUUCAAUUUUUAUAGUGAAAUACAACUAUUGAGCUGUUCUCAGCUGAAGGAUGAAAUUUUAAAAUUAAAGGAUUGGACUAUUUAGUAUAUAUGCAAGUGGGUGGUGAGAUUGAUCCCCGUAUCAGUGGCGGAGAUAGGAAUUUAAUCGAGUUUGG
rnacentral:lncRNA from 1 species